UAAGGCCCUGGGCAACUUGAUCUAGCUGUGGUAUCCCUGCUCACUGCAGUGGAGUUGGACUAGAUGCCCUUCAGAGGUUCCUUUCAACUCUAAGGAUUCUAUGAUUUUAAAACUCAACAUGAGAAUCCAGUUCUCCACCUGUUCAGUUAAAGAGCUGAACUGUAGAUUCGUGAGUAAGGUUUAAUGCUUUCAUUUUCGUGUUUUAGUGAUUCUUACAAAAACAGACAUAAAAUUGCAUUUCAGUAGGACCCUAGCUAUUACUUGCAGAUUAUUUUCCCUUACUUUAAAUCGUAUUUAUUCUUUGAGACACUAUAGUCUCUCUGUCAUCAGAUAUAGUAAAGCUAAGUUCAAGCAGAGCACGAAAGAGGCAAGUUUGAAUCAGAAGGAGAAGAAAACCAGUAAGUCCUCAGGCCAGGAUAUCAGGAAGCCAUGCCAAGAAUAUGAACAUUUUCUAUGCUGAUGCUUUCAUUGAUAUCUACAAAGAAAAAAUAUAAUGAAAAAACUUUGAUGAAAGUCAGUAUACCUACUCACAGCCAAUGACUGAUAAAAGGAUGACAAACAUCAUAUAAGCACACAGAUACCAGACAUGAGGACUUCUUAUGUAGUCAGGCAUGCAAACUAUGCAUGCUCAAUAAGAGAUCAGCCAGAGGCCUGCAAUACCUAUGAGACCUUGCUACAUGAGUACUGCAGAGAUACUGCCAAGAAGACUUUGGAAUCAUAACUGUAGCCCAUAAUUGGAUGCAUCAAGAAGAUCCUGAUCAUUGGCUCAAACUCAGUAUUGCAAAGGCUCCUUCCCCCUGUGCAGAGCCCAGACUCAGAAAUGCUUGCCAAAAAUUCAAAGAACUACAAAAAGGAGAGGUGUUGCUGCUUCAGCAGAUGCCAGGAAGCUGUAUGCUUGUCAGGCACCAUAUGGAGACUCCCAGAAGCAGAGGACUCUCGACUUCUCAACUUUUAUUGCCUUUCCAGAGUUUCAGAGCCAAAAGAUGUAGCAACACAUGUGCUAGCUCCAACAUUUCCAUUUCCAUUCCAGUCCAGCCCAGCUUCUGAGGAUGUUAAGUACAUGGCCUCUUUCAGACUUCUGAAUUAAAAAGAGUAUUUGAAUAAAGC
rnacentral:lncRNA from 1 species